UACGCUGACCUCAUCUACAGAGGACUGGAUACAGCAUUGGAGCAAUGAUGUCAACCAGCUCCAUCUUAAAAAAUGAUCGUGUCAAGGACAGCGCCCCACCUAAAAGCUGAUCUGACUCUGACUAAGGAGUAGCAACCAAAGCUCCAGUACCUUGCUAGACAGC